UAUCCAUGGUGCGGGCAUUGUAAUAAAAGUAAUUUGAAGCAAUUCUAUGCUUCAUGAAAUGAUUCAAAUGUUCUUUUGAUAAAAAUUAGAAAUUUUUGCUCUGAUUCU
rfam:Ricinus communis cultivar Hale ctg_1100012316154, whole genome shotgun sequence.